rnacentral:rRNA from 1 species
GACGUAGGGCGCGAGCGUUGUCCGGAUUUAUUGGGCGUAAAGAGCUCGUAGGCGGCUUGUCGCGUCGGCUGUGAAAUCCCGUGGCUCAACUGCGGGUCUGCAGCCGAUACGGGCAGGCUAGAGUUCGGUAGGGGAGACUGGAAUUCCUGGUGUAGCGGUGAAAUGCGCAGAUAUCAGGAGGAACACCGGUGGCGAAGGCGGGUCUCUGGGCCGUAACUGACGCUGAGGAGCGAAAGCGUGGGGAGCGAACAGG